GAAGACGCCUUUCCCCUGUCUGCCCCUCCCUCGCUGUGAAGAUGGCGCUCUCCAGAGUGUGUUGGGCUCGGGCUGCUUUGUGGGGUUCGGCGGUGCCCCCUGGACUAUAUGUCGCCCGAAGGCUGCAGUUUGUUCGCUCUGGCCUGACCUGGGGGGCCCCUCGGUCUUCAAAGCUUCAUCUUUCUCCAAAGACAGAUGUGAAGAGCUUGAUCUCUUAUGUGGUGACCAAGACAAAAGUGAUUAAUGGGAAAUACCAUCGUUUCUUGGGUCGUCAUUUCCCCCGCUUCUAUGUCCUGUAUACAAUCUUCAUGAAAGGAUUGCAGAUGUUAUGGGCAGAUGCCAAAAAGGCUAGAAGAAUAAAGACAAACAUGUGGAAGCAUAAUAUAAAGUUUCAUCAACUUUCAUACCGGGAGAUGGAGCAUUUGAGACAGUUUCGUCGAGACGUCACCAAGUGUCUUUUCCUAGGUAUUCUUUCCAUUCCACCCUUUGCCAACUACCUGGUCUUCUUGCUAAUGUACCUAUUUCCUAGGCAACUGCUGAUCCAACAUUUCUGGACCCCAAAGCAACAAAUUGAUUUCUUAGAUAUCUAUCAUGCUCUCCGAAAGCAGUCCCACCCAGAAAUCCUUUGUUAUUUAGAAAAAGUUGUCCCUCUCAUUUCUGAUGCAGGACUCCAGUGGCAUAUGACAGAGUUGUGCACCAAGAUGCAACGUGGUACCCAUCCAGCAGUACAUGAUAUCCUGGCUCUGAGAGAGUGUUUCGCUAACCAUCCUCUGGGCAUGGACCAGCUCCGUGCUUUGCAGAUGAAAGCCUUGUGUCGAGCCAUGCUUCUCACACCUUAUCUGCCUUCUGUCUUAUUGAGACACCGUUUAAAGACUCACACCACUGUAAUCCACCAACUGGACAAGGCUUUGGCAAAGCUGGGGGUUGGCCAGCUGACCGCUCAGGAGGUGAAGUCGUGCUAUAGGCUUGUUAUCUUCGUGGCCUGAAUUCCACCCAUAUUGCUGAAGAGAGGUGUCGAACUUGGCUGGGAGAAUGGCUACAGAUUUCCUGUAGCCUGAAAGAAACUGAGCUGUCCCUCUUGCUACACAACGUGGUCCUGCUUUCCAUCAACUACGUCGGGUCAAGGCGCUGAGUGGACAUGAAGUGGCUGGCGGCGUCCUGCAGUCACAGCCCAGCAGCGUGGGACCAAACAGCACCUGUCAGCGAAGUCUGCAUGCACUGUUAGGUGUGGGAGACGGAGGAACCCGUGCCAUGGGCUUCACGGCGUAGUGCCCACGUGGGAGCUGGAACUGAAAGAAGCCCUCCUAGUGGGGUGGCCCAUGAGAGGUGCCAUCCCAACUUCCUCAGAAUUCACUGGAACUGGCAAUAGCCUCUCUACUGGUCUUAACUGUGGUGUUUUAAGUUCAGAUCCUAGGAGGCUGAGCUUUUGCCCCAGGAGGGAAUUCUCAUUUGGCCUUGGACUUACUCGCUGCUCUAAUCUUCACAGCUGUUUUUGUUCCAGACAGUUCCCGGCUGGUGAGGGGAGGAGCACUGCUUAUACUGGAGCCUUUACAUCCACUCAUGUACUUGGGUGCCCCCUCAACACUUUGAUAUGACCAAAAAUAGGGAUUUGCUGCUUCUGUAGUUCCCCUCACUGGGACUGGAAUAACCACUUCCUGUUUUUUUCAAAUCCUUUGAGCACUUUUUUUUUUUUCUGUAAGUGAAUAACUUACGGGAACAUUCUAAUGGAAAAGAUAAAAGGAAAUGCAAGUGCUUCUUGACUUUCUCCCCAAGUGUUUACAGCCUUCACUUCCCUUGUCUUAAUUUCUGGGCUGCACUACAGCCCCUGUGGAUCUUAAACUCUUUGCUACCUCCACUGUGUCGCAGCGAUCCACCUGUAACUGACAGUGGCUGCCUUCUUUGGUCCAUGAUCAGUCCCGCUAAGGCACUCAUCACUGCCCAGCCCGAGGUCUACACUGAGAGAGUAACUGGGUUCAGCUUUUCUCUGUGUAUUUCAGUGACCUGUAGUAACUUAUUGUAAAUGCAUGAAGCACCGUUUUUAAACUCAAGUAAAGACUGCCUGAAACCA